UAUUUGUUUCGGUGGAAGUGGGGUGGAAGUGGAGUGGAGAGAAGUCGUUUUCGUCAUAAACAACCACUUCCGUUGUUUGGUUCACCGUAAAAAUGUUACGAUCAAAACUCGAGUUAACUUCAAACAAUAUAAUUGACUUUAGCCCAGCGUGGGCCGAAGUCAAUUAUGGUGAAGAGAGGUGAAGAAAAAAUAAUAAAAUAAUAUAUUAGGUAAAAAUUGUUAUAUUUAAAUAUAUUUACUUAUAUUACUAUUUAAUUUCUUAUUCAGUUGGCAUAUUUAAAAUAUGAUAAAAAUUGAUUAGUUAAGUUUUAAUAUUUUCUUUAUUUAGUUUGUACAAUUAAAAUAUAAUAAAAUUUGAUUAAUUAAGUAUUAAUAUUUUUUUAUAAUUUUAUUGUUGUAUUACUAUAAUUUAUAUAUAUAAAAUAAUUUAGCUGUUUUAAAUUAAAUUUUAAUUAUAUAAAAAUAUAAUUAUAUUAUUUUUAUUUAUUAACAUAUUUAUUAUUUAUAUAUAAAUUAUAGUUUUGUAUCAUACACUUUCUACUAAACAAACAAUAGAACUAAUGAAACUUCACUUCAUAACUACGAAACAAACAGCGAAAAAAAAGUAGUUUUCACCAAACUCCACUUCAACCCAAAGUUCAUUUCAACCUAAAGUCCAGUUUAAAAGAAACAAACAUAUCCUUAUAAAAAAAAAAAGUUUUUUGAUGUAGGCUGAAAAAUACUAUAGUAUAUACUGUAGCUAUAGUAUUAUAGUGGCAAAUACUAUGGCAACAGGUGAAAGAUGAAAAAAAAAAGGAAAGAAUAGAGAGAAAGAAGAAAGCGAAAGAAGUAGGAAACGAGACAUAGUCGAUGAGAAAGACCACACUAAUCUAAAUAACAUUUUCAUUAAUCAAAAUUUUUUUAAAACAUAAGCUUUGUCUCUAUUUAUAUUGAAAAAAAUACUAAUUGUAAUCCUAAUCAAAUCCUAAUAUCUUAAAAAAUUUUCUAAUACAAAUAAAUCUAGUUCUAAUUUAAAACUUCUAUAUUUAUAUUCCUAAUUUUUAGAAAUUUAUUCCAUAUAGAAAUUUUAUAAAAAUCUAUUAAAAUUCUCCACAACAAAGUAACAAAAAUAAUAAUUAAAAAAUUUAAGUUAUAGUUGAUUUCUUGGCCGCAUUUGUACACUUCCACUGCAUACUCGUCCUUAAGAUCAACAACAGUGAAGUUAGCAAUUGAAUUUUUAGCAUAUAUAAUAUGAUAAUUAAUAUAGUCCAAUUUCGAAAGCUUGAGUAGUUUUCAUUAAUAGCUUCCCGAUUGUGGUAGUGUGAAAAGGAUGAUUGGCUUCUAGAAGUUUAUAUAAGCACACAAAUAUUUUUUGUCGAAACAUAGAAAAACCUGUGUUGGUGGAGGAGGAUCUCCCACUAUAUAUAUAUAUAUAUAUAUAUAUAUAUAUAUUGAGAAAAAUGUAGCAUGCUGCUUACUUCGUUUAUUUUAUUUAAAAAUAAACUUAGCUAGAAAUAUGAAUCAACUAGCAUUCGAAUUUGGGAUCUUGGACACCCACUAUAUUUUGAAGCCAAUUUGUAGCAGAAAAGGCUCCUUUACUGUAAUGUCGGCAAUGAUGAAUCAUAGUAGGAGGACAAGCUCCUCAAUAAUCUCUUGAGGGGGCUCGACAGUUGGUGAAGGCGACGGAUCAGAAACAAUGGAGUUGGUGGUUUGGCUUUCUAACUGCUGGAACAAUAGUAUAUCAAACUAUCAUGAUUACCAUAAAAAUAUAUAAUACCUAAUUUUCUCCGCGGUUAGAAAAAAAUUUUUAUCUCAUGCCAUAGUCGGCCGAGCAUGAUACCCCAUUCUUUCAUGUCUAUCACAUGAUAAGUACAGUUUUGUCUUUGUAUUUAUCUUAUAUAGUGAGUGAUAGAUCUUUAAAGCGCCAUAGAGAAGAAUAUCUUGAUCAAUUUACAGAUGUGAAAAGUCCGGUACCAGUAUGAACGCUACCAACCGAAUUUGGGUAAUUUAGUUUCUCCUUCUAUUCCAGACACUUUCCCAUAUGGUAUGGAACCGAUGGUAUUUCUUAACAAGAAUGCGUGUGAGAAAGUGACAGAAUCGCUACACCCUUUAUAUAGUGUCCAGAUCGAUUUCCCAUGAAAGUUUGAUUAGGAUUCUAUUUAAUUUAAAUAGAUAUGAUAGGGUUAAAAUAUAUCAUACAAAAUAGUUCUAUAUUUAUUAGGAUUGAUAUUUAUUUAUAGUAAAUUCAGAUUUAAAUAUGAUUAAUUUGACCAUAUUUAUGAAAAUCCUAAUAGCGAGAAUUUUGUACGUACUUAAUAUAUUUUGAUUUCAUAAUAAUGUUCUUGUAAGAAAUGAAACAGAGAAAUAAUAAUAAUAAUACCGAGUAAGAUCUAACUUUUCUAUAAAGUUUCUCGAAAUAAAGAUCAUGAAAAAACUAGUCAGCAAUUUGUACUUGACACAAAACUUCAUUGUAUCUUAUAUAUAGAAGUUCGGAAAGAAUAAGUAAGUGAAUAGAAUCCGUGAUCGAAAAAGAUAAAGGAAUGAUUUUCAAUACAUUUUAAGAUAGACUUUUGCUUUGAUAAAGAAUCUAUCGCCUCCGACGGAGUAUCUUUGUGCUCCAAUUGGGGAUCUUUCAGGUUUGAAAGAGGACCUUUCAAGUUUGAUGCUGGCUGAAAAAUACUGUAGCAACUCCUGUAACCAUUUGCAGCAUAAAAGAGGUAGAAAAGAAGAAUUGAGAAGAGAAGAAAGCGAAAGAAGAAGAAAGAAUCCACAUAUAUAGAGUAGGACAUGCCAUAAGAAAGAGCGGAUGGAUCUAAAUAAAAUUUUCAUUAAUUAAUUAAGACUCUCUUACCAUAUAAAUUUUGUCCCUAUUUAUAUUGAAAAACUAUUGAUCGUAAUCAUAAUCAAAUUCCAACAUUUUAGAAGCUUUUUAAUAUAAGUAAAUUUAUCUCUAAAAAAAAUAUAAAAAAAAUUUACCUCUAAUUAAAACUUCCAAUAUCUCUAAUUUUUGAGGAUUUAUUCUAUAUAAAACAAAUCUUUAAAUCUGAAAAACAUCUCCAAAACAAAUUAAUAAAAAUAAAAACUUCAAAUUUUGACAAAAUAAUUUUUAAAAUCAUAGUUAUUUCCUUGGCUGCAUCACUUUCGCUUAGAUAAGGUACUAUGUAUAGAAACAUCUGAAACUUGUAUUUAAUCCUAAUAUUAGAGAAAAUAAGAAAGCACGAAGUAUGAAAAGGAAUAGUUAUCAUGAGAUCAAUUUUCUUGUGCGUAUGGACGUUGAAUUCUGGUUGGAUGCAAUAAAUAAACGGGUUAAUUUAACAUAGUUAUCCUCUCUUGAAAAAGUUAACUAUAUAUGUCAUUUAUUUUUUAAAUGAAUAAAGCGGAUAGUGUGCUAUCUUUUUUUUUAAAAAAAAAAACUAUAUAUAUCAGGAAUAUUGCAAAAAUUUUUUUUUUUUUGAGAAAAAGGUAGCAAGCUACCUGCUUCAUUCAUAAAGUAAAAUGAACUAAGCAUACAGGUGGAAGCAGCUAGGGCCUCCUAGAGAAACCGAAAAGAAAUCAACGAAAAGAAAAACAAAAGCCCAAAAAAAACAUGAAAACGGAAACAAGAGCAUGUGGUUAGAGCAGGAGACGUCGAGAAUCACGUAACAUCAGUCCAAUCCUUUAACAAAGACUCAACGCGAACCGCGGCCCGGUUUGCGUUGGGAGGCAUAUCACGAAAGAUAGUAUUAUUGCGUUCAGUCCAAACAACCCACCAGAUCGCCGCCAGUCGGGUUAAUCUCUUCGCAGCAGACACAGCAUUGAGGUUACAAGAUAUCUCAUUCCAUAAGCACCGGACAUCCCCCGAGUGUACAACGGUCAGCUCAUUCCCUCCCUCAAUCCAAAAAAGGUAUCUGACGAAGACACAAUCAGAGAAAAGGUGAUCACAAUUUUCUAGGUAGACCGCGCAAAAAAUGCACUGUUGAUCCACAGGGCAUCCUCGGGUGAUCAAUCUAUCCACAGUGGGUAAUCUCUUGCGAAGUAAAAUCCAGAUGAAGAUUUUAACUUUGCCCGGAAUUUUUAACCUCCAAAGAUGAGCGUACGUGGGGUCUCUCUGGAAUAUUGCAAAAAUUUUAAACAUAUAAUUCUUGCUGAUAAAAGCCAGCUACUGCAUCUUGUCUGAUUUUUUUUAAAAAAAAAACCAAAAAAAAGCCAAAAAAGAUCGAAAAAGCUUUUGUUGAAUAAUGACUGAAUGUAUACUCAUGGUUUAGUUAUUUGUAAACUUAUAAAUACAAGUUGAUGAUCCUGAGUGUAUCUAACUCUUUUUUCUCCCUCAUUUUGAGAAUAAAAACGUGGUACGUAUAGAUGCUACAUAUAUUUAUGUAAAUGUGUAUGCCUGUAUGUGUAUAUGUGUUAAUACAUGUACGGACGAUGUUUGUUAGUGUAUAUAGUAUUUGAUUUCUAUUUCACAAAAACAGAUUAAUUACUCUACUAAGGUUACUCGAGCUGCACAAUUCUUAAGCAAUCAUUCAUGCGUGAUCACAAAUUUUUGGUUCGUAUUUGUAAGUAGAAUGAGAGUGAGUUCACGUUGAGCCAAAAACGAGUCGACAAGUUUACACGUUCAUUUGUCAUGAGCCCAUGACCCACUGUGCGUCAGCAACUUUAAGCUAACGAACCUCUAUAGAAAAAUUUCCCACGUACGAAACGGUCACAUAUUACACCCUCAAAGCAGAGAUCUGAGAUGUCACCCAAUAAAUAUCUAUGUGAGGAUCAUAUUAUGGUGGGGAUAAAGGUCGGAUUUUGAUGUCGAAAUAGGAUAUUAAAUAAUAACUUAUUUCGGCAUGAAAUUUUUUUUUUUUUUUGAUUGUUAAUUAGAUGUUCGAUUUUUUACUUUUUGAAAAAUUUUGAUACUCAUAAUUUGAUAUGAUAGUACAUUUUACUUACAGAGUAGUUAUUUUAUUUCCAAAAUAUGGUUUUGCAGUCGAAUUGUUGGAACAAAUGCCGCACAGAAAUUUAAUUGUGAUUGAAUCUAACUAAUUUGUAAUAAAGAUAAAUAUAUCAACUUACAGAUGACGCAAAUAUUUCAAUAAAGAUUUGAUCGAUCCGGAAGCGUGCGAGGCACUGCCCUAAGGCGUAUUUCCGUCCUUACGUGCGGGAUUAAUCGAAAAUAACACCCUAAGGUACGACCGGAAUUCUCCUACGAGCACGAUCGUGAAGAAGGUUGACGGAAACUCUUUCAACACCUGAUGAUAAAAGAUCAAAUAAAUUAAAAUUAAAAGAAGAAAACUUCCUCUCUCUGUCGUGUUCACAUAUCCACAUGAACAAUAUGCGAAGCAUACUAAUAUAGAGGGGAUCGAAUAGAAUGUACGUAACCGUAGAAUCCAACCAGCAUUUAAUCCUAAUUAAUUACACGCAGCUAAUUAGAAAAUUUCAAAACCGCCCUAGAAUUCAUGCGCGACUAGAAGUCAGCGCAUGGAGCGCGUACGUGCGCAACGUCCGCGCCCGGAGCGGACGUCCGUUUUAAAGGACGUUAACAAUAAAAAUAAAUUAGGAUUAAUAAGUAAAAAUAGAGGAUUUUGAAUUUUUCUCCAACACGAAUAUGAUACUUGUUUUGGACAUUUGAUAACUAAUAAAAUAGAUAACAUUCAGGCACGUUUAUGACCCAAAAAAAUUAUGUGAGGCUCAUGAUUAAUAUCAAGUGAAUCAUACGACAUAUACGAUAGAUGUGAGAAUUAUUAUUAUAUUUUUUCAGAUCAAAAAAGUCUUUUCUAUCUCUGUCGAGGACAAAUAUUAGAAUUGAAUCUGUAGCUUUUUAGAACGGAGGAAACUUAGUACUAGCUAGCUAGUUCUGGUAACAUGCUAUCCAAAAUAUCGAUAAAAAGUCGUAGCAGUUCCUGUAAAGGGACGACUCGCAUGCGGAAUGUGUAGAGGCCAUCAUUUUUGCUGCAGCGUACGUAUACGUACGUACGUACGUACGAAGAAGAAGAAGGUGGUGGUGGUGGUGGUGGUGGUGGGGUUGGAGGGUGGUGACACAACAAAGUUAAUUAAUUUAGAGGUGAUGUGGAGAGAGUCAAUAUUCAAAAGCACGAGGGGGAGGAGGGAGGAGGGAGGAGGGAGGGGCCGGGGUGGGGGUUGAAUACUGAACAGAUGGGGCUGUCGGGGACGGUGUGGACACCGAGUCAAAAAGAGGGGAAUCGGUCAGACCCCAUCCCGCCCCCACGUCCGGACUCGACCCGACCCAUCCCGACCCUGAGACCUCAUCCCCGUGAUUCCCGCACAGCCACUCGUUUCCGAACCAAUGGCCAUGCGCCCGCGCCCACCGACCGUCCCUAGAGCAAGUGGCAAAGGACUUGACGCCGAGACCCAAGUUCGAAUCCCAGUUGAUUCACAUUUCCAGCUAAGUUUAUUUUUAAAUGAAAUAAACGAAGCGGGUAGCGUGCUAUCUAUCUCUCUAAAANCGAAUUAAGUUUUAAAUUCAUCUAUCACACCGAUCGUUCCUAGAGCAAGUAACAAAGGGCUUGGUGGUUGGUACCAGAGACCCAAGUUCAAAUCCUAGUUGAUUCACAUUUCUAGUUAAGUUUAUUUCUAAAUGAAAUAAACAAAGCGAGUAGCGUGCUAACUAUCUUUCAAAAAAAAAAAAUCAUCUAUCACAUCAUGAUUAAUAAAAAAUUAUUUUUAUUAUAGUUUUCUCUCAAUAGAAAAAUAUGAUUAAUUUGCCACUAAUGAUAUGGUAUCAAUGUGACACAGGAGACUUCCUUGUUCCUCUGCGAGCCGUGCGAUAUAUGAAUCGACCAAAAUUACCCCCCAUGAUUCUUUUGAAAAAAAAAAAAAAAAUAGUACUGCUGGCCCCCAUUGGUGUUGUUGAAUGGGUCACAUUAAUCAUUUGCUGAGAGUUAUAAUGGCCCAACAACUAGACGAAGAGUUAUAAUUCUGUAAUUUCAUUAUUUAAAAGGUUCAUAUUUCUUUAUUUGUUUUGUUAUACUUUUUUCGAUACUAAAAUUUUUAAAAAGAUUGUUUAAAUUUUGGACGGAGUUGUGAUUCUACAACUCUCUUUUAGGUUGUAGACUCUGUAAUUUCUCAAAAUAUUAUAGUUUCAGAAUAGUGCAUAUAAUUAGAAAAUUUUUUAUUAAUUAAAGCGAUGAAAAGUCCGCAUCAUCUAUCCUUAUUCGUAUAUAUAAAUGUUAAAGCAACCUCUUCAAUCAUAAGGAUGUUAUGGCAUUACAUGCACGUAGCUGUGCUGUGUGGGUGUAGUAGUUUAACAUUAUCUUGUAUUGUAAUGGGUGCUUUUUUAAUAUACACUCUGCUAGUAAUGAGUAACAAAAUUAUUGCCCAAGUCGGGCACAUCUAUUGCAACUUUAGUACAAAAAUAUUCUUCUUUCGCUCUUAUACAUAGAUUACACUUGCAAAAGUGGGUGUAAUCGGUUUGACUACUUAUUUCAUUUCAAAAGCGGUUUUUGCUUAUAUAUUUUUUACUGCUAUUCAAAGUUUUUAAAUAUAUCUCUCAUUUUUAAAGUACCCUUCGAAAAUUCCAAUCCCAUUUGUGAACCCUAGAAGGCAAAGGGGACAUUUGAAGGAUUUUUUUUUAAAAAAAUUAAUAAAGAUAUUUUGGUUAACCAAAGAUAAAUUAGUUAUUUUUGAAGUUUUAGAAGAUAUAUUAGAUAUUGUCCCUAUUUCAAAUUACUUACUACCGAAUUAAAAAAAUUAUAAUUUUGAUUUCCAGUUACAAUUUUGGGAUCGAACUGGGACUGCCUUACAUUUUACUCGAGUCUUUUUCCUGCUGAUAUGCCGUACAGCCCAUUAGGGCCCAAUGAGACCCGAACUUUUACAGCCCAGAGCCCACAUAGUGGGGCCCAUUGGGGCCUGUACCUGGGCUACAUUACCAGAUGGCUUUUUGCAUCGGACCGGGCCCAGCCCUCAAUUCUACAAGUAGAGAAUAAUACCUACUCUACUUUUAUACUGAAACAUCCAGAGGGUACAAAGCACCACAAACACAGCUCCGUUACCGUUAAGAUGGAAGCGAAAAUUAGAGACACUACCGCCUAGUUAGAACAUUGGACUUAGCAACGUAGAAGUUAGUGAAAUUUUCAAUUAAUCAAUUUUGUUACUGGUUGACUAUGAAGAGUAAAACAAUGCAAAGAUUGUGCCCAAGGUCCUUAAAUCAACACAAGCGAUCACUCCUUUAACCUGCCACACAAAAAAUCAGACAUUUUUUCAGCGUUAGUUAGAGAAUACAAUCAACUGUUGCUGUCACAACAAGCUGUAACUUACCUAUUUAUUAGCGUUGGAUCGAAGAGUUUUGCCGCAACUUAAUAAGCAGUCGGUUGAAAGAAUUGGAGAUGAAUCAGAAAGCAAACAGAGCCUCUUCGUUUUUGUUUUGCUUUUUCUUUCCCGAAGAUUACUGGGGAGUGCCCUGUAAAGAGCUGCUUCUGUCACAAGAUGAGCUUUGUUUUAUAGCAGUCUAAUCAGCUCAGUAGAUGAAGAUUAAGUGAAUGAAAACUUGAGAAACCACUUUUAAAGUCCUUGCACAAAAUUUGAUCGGUCGUUGAGUGCUCUACAUUUUAUCUGGAGGAUCCUCCACUAUCUGGACGCCAGAAACCCUUUUUACCAACAAGAAAUUGCCGUUUAGUGGUGGUCACAUAGUGAAGAGAUCGUAAUACAGGGCAUAUCUUCUUUAUCGUUUCCACUUUGUCUUGCAGUAAGACCCAUCCACCUGGCCUUAGUAUCCUGUCCAUCUCAGCCACUACUUCAAUGAUGUCGCAUCUGAAAAGAGAAGGAAAAUAUCACACUCACAGGGAGUUUCCUCUUGCCUAACCAAAUGAGAAAAAAGAGAAGACGGUAAGCUUCAAAAACAUACUAUUAUAGGGUUGAGUAUCUUUACCUUUUCAUAAGAUUUUCCAGAAGAUAACUCGAAUGAAGUAGAUCGUACGUCCGAGGGUAUGUGUUAAAAGCUUCACACCAGUCAUGAUAUGACCCAAUCAACCCUCUGUUAUAAAUAAUUGGUAAAGUAUCUGGCUCGCUAAUUGGUACCACAUUCAUCACCCAGAGAGGUUGAUCCAUCAGUGCUGCCGCAAAUCUGUUUAUUUUUAUUUAGAUGAUCAGUAACUUCUUCCUAUCAAUAAUAGAAAUAGGGCUUAAACGGAAGUUUGUGAAGUAAUUUGGAUGCUUUCACACGAAUUAGCCAUGCAGAAAGCAGCAGGGGAAAGGAGAAAAAAGAUGCUUUAAUAAAAUUUGUGCUGUGAGCAAUGGAAACCAUGUACAGCAUACAAGUCUUUAGCUAAGAACAAAAGGCAAAAUUUCUUUAAUUGAAUGCCAACAGGUAAUUGAAUAUAUUUUUCUUAAAUGAAACUUCAUAGUAACCUACAGAACAGGUUUAGAGAAAUUUAAGAAUAUUGCCUUACCCUCCAAAUCUAGCAUUCAUGUCCAUGACAUUACGAAUGCUUGACCAGUUAAUUGCAAGAUCACUCCAAUAUACUUCUGAAACAAGUGAUUUCCAGUGCUUCGUAUCAGCAUAAAACUUUUCUGCAGAUUGAAUUCCGUUUGGCUCUUCAUGUUGACUUGAAUAAAAUGUAUUAAGUCUUUCAGGCCAAGGAGGCGGCCAAAUAUGUUCUUGAUCAGAGUUGGUAAUUGGGAGUUGAGAAAUACAACUAUCAAGUGGGGCAUACCUGCAGGUGCAAAAUAGGAAUAAGUAUAAUCUCAGAACUAAUCAAAUAAGUAUAAGAUCAGCACCAAGUAUGGAUUAUUAGCAGUGAUAUCAAAAAGAAUGGAUGGAGGAGUACCAUGAUACAUUUGUUCGAUCAUUCUGAGCACAUAAAGGUGGAUUAAUGGUUUUUCUCUGAAUGUAGCAGGAAUUCGAGAGAGGUUUUUGAUAUAUUACAAUACCAAUUCCAGAUUCAUCCUCAGAUUUCACCAGUGUCUUCCAGCAGAUGGAGUUUGUCAAUGCCACCAUAGCUGCAGGAAAGAGAACAAUGAUCUCCUUUUAGGUCAAACUUGUUUAAAUUCUAAAGACUAAUCAAACCUGUCAGGUAAAAAACGUAGUUUUAAUAUGACAAUAGUCCUCCCAAUUGUCUACUUCCACUGGAUAGUGGAUAAAUUUACUCGACAAGCAAAACGUGAGCACUCAUGAGGAUUUGUUUUCCUUUUUCUGCUUAACAAGAAAGCGGAAAGACCUUAAGAGCAAAAAUAUUUCUUUAUUUGGUAAUUGAAAAAAUAAGUUGGAGGAAAACAUGUAGCAGAUAGUUAGACAAGAUUUAUGAAAAACAUGGCGGUAUUUAACAUAUACAAAUGAAAAUGUUACCAUUCCAGACGGUUUCAUCUCUUUCAUUAUGACGAUAUACAGGUGUUGCAGACCACACAAAAAAACCUCCAGGCCUGAGAAUCCUAUUGAGCUCCAAUAAUGGCCGUCCACCUAGAAAAGAAAAAGAAAAAAAAAAAAAUCUAAUGUUUGUUUCUUCCAUUAAAAGAGAAAAAAGAAAAACAACUCUACUAUAUUUAUCGAAGAUUUUGGCCCAUGAUUAACAUAUAUGUAUGUAUGAUACCAUUUGCAUCCCAAUGGACCCUACAUCUCGCACAGUGAAUCAGAUCAAACACGUUAUCAGGGAAAGCAAGCCUUUGGGUCCCAAUCACUGAUAGGAAAGCCGGAAUUCCACGUUCCAGUGCAAAUUGUAUCUGAGCCUCAUGCUCAUCCUUUGGGGCAAAUGACAUAGUAAGGACAUUCCUAUCCAGAAGGUAUCCACCAAGACUUGCCACACCACAACCAACAUCAAGUAUAACUCUUGUGUGUCUUCCCCACUCAAUACUUGGCAGAAUCUAGAAAAUUAAGAAAAAGACAGUAUGAAAAGAAUAUGUAAUAGAUCUGCAUAUUAUUUCGUAACGUAUGAGAACAUGGUCGCUGGAACAAUAGAGAUUUCUUCUUAUGACAUGAUUUACACCAACAUUUGUAACGUAAAGGGUUUUUCAUACAUCAUAAAUCACCAAAUGGGUAUUCAAUUUUUAAGUUCCAGCACAAUAUACCCAGAAGAAACCAGCAGGGGACAAUUUAAAAAAUGGAAGAGAGAGAAAAAAAAUCUUCCUAGCAUGUUAGUGCAGUCAGCUAAAUAAAAGCAUUAAUAAUAUGGAAAAGACAGGAAUGCGCUACAUUUGUUACUUCGGAAAAGUAUAGCACCAUGUGGUAUAUAUGAACUUUUCUAUUUUGAAAAGCUUGCUAGGGUUGAACCCUAAGCAUUAUUUGAGUGUGUAUAACUAGAUUUCAUAUUUCAAAACAAUCUUCUCGCAAUUUCAGCUACCAAUAAUAUUCUCAUGGUCUGGAUAAUUAUCAUCUACCCGUUCAAUGAACUGAAUGUAGCGUGUUACUCCCUGCUUGAAUUGAGUUCCACCUCCAGGAAAUUCAAGAUAGUCUCCCGAUCUCCGAACCCAGUUUUGAUCCUUCUUAUACUCAACUAGUUUAGGGUGAGGAACAUUGCCAUACCAUAUCUGGAGAAAGAAUUAGAAUGGGACAUUUAAAAAAAAAUAAAAAAGUUCUAUAAAGCCAGAUCUAAAUUAUUAAUAAUCCAAGAAAAUAUAAGCAAGCACUAGGAACGCCAAGUCCCCAUCUUCAAAAUUUCUAACUGAGAGAUGAGCAUAACUAUUUUCAUUAGAAGAACAAGUUAAUUGUUGACACAAGCCCAAAACAUUGAGAAAAAAGGAAUUAUGUAAAGUGUGAUCUGCAAAUACCUUGCUAGUUCAUCUCAACUAAAUACUGAGCUAAGAAGCAAAUCAUUGAGAGCAAGGAAGUGUACUGUAUCAUUUAUAUGUUACAGUCAGAUGUUUUACGCGAACUUAAAACCUAUGAAACUGACAGUGCAAGGAAAUAACAAAACCUAAUAUAUUUCAGGGCAAUGUUACAUGUUAAUACACGGAAAUCCAGGAAAAGCAAUGCCGAAAGAACUUGAACCCACAUUUUGCAAGAUUAUCUCGGAUAUUUUAUACGACGAACUCUGUCUUGCAUCAGCCAUUUCAUGUGCUUAAUUGGUGUAUAGUGCUGAAUCUGUAAAAUCUCCACAACAUUAAACUUUUCUUUUGCUCUGCUAUGCUUUACACUCAACUUUAGAUGGCUGGUUUAAAAACAACAAAUCUGUGAAUUUGGACUCACGAGUCGAUGGGCAAACUGUGUUGGAGGAUCGGGGGGGUGAACAGGGCUUUGAGCCUCAAAUCACACUAUGUAAUGUGUGCUUAUACUCCAUCUUGAUUGCUUGUUUUUGUUACAGGUGCUCUACCUAUUGGUUUCCCCGUUCAUCUUCCUUAGUGCCUAAAUACAUUCAUAAAGCACUCUCAUUCAUUUUCUGGAAAAAGGUAAUCAUACAAACAAUCUCGCUCUGUACGCUCUCUUUCCCAGUCAAAAAUCUUUCCUUUGCGAUGUUUCAUUAGAUUGUGUUUUGCAGUUUUCACUUCUUUCUUUUUUUCCUCUGCUUUCCAAAAUUUUGAAUUACAGACGUUCAGUGAACUAAUUCUUAGCUCAUACGUGUUAGCUCUACAUUCCGUGAGAAGAAACAUGAACAUUGCAAUCAAGCAUAGCAAUCAGAUUACUAAUCGCGGAGAAUUACUAGCUCCCUUACCGAAGAAUCAUCCUCACCAUGUCUCUGCUCCGCGGCCACGGCACCGGCACCCGGUACCCCCGCGGCAGUGGGACGAGGCACCGCGGCCCCGGCCGCGGGCAAUGCCGCUCCCGGUGCUCCAUGUGGCGCCUCGACCUCAGCUCCUUGAUCGCCCUCACGUUGUCCAAGCAGGGAAUGUAAUCCGCCGCCUCCACCCCCUUCCCCACCCUACAGAUCUCCCACCUGAACUCGAACUCCUCAUCUCCCUCGCCUUGUAGCCUCCCAUCGCCGGAGGAUUCGGCGGGGCUAGGGUUAGAGUUCUGGAUCGUCGUCGUCGUCGUCGUCGGAGAAGGAGGAGGCGAUCGAGGAGGGGGGAAAGGGGGCGGAGGAGUGCGUUGGCGAUCGGAGAAGAAGGGGAUGGGGACGCUGGGGAGGGAGAGGAGGAGAAGGGAGGAGAGGAGGAAGAGGGAGAGGAUGAGGAGGAGCGAGUGCUUCCUCUCGGAGAGGAAAGCGAGGAUCGACGCCAUGAGUGGAAGGGAGGGAGGAGACUAGGGGAGUAUUUCUGUUGGGGGAGUUGUUUGGAUGGAGAAAUUAAAGUGGGGAGGAUGACGCCACUGUCACGAAGAGGUGUGGCAACUGGCAAGUGAAUGCAGUAAAAAUUUUAAAAAAUAUUUAUUUAUAUAAAUUAAAAGAAUAAAAAAAAAAUCGGGAGAUUUGCAUGUAUGCGGAUGCACGAGGAACGGAGAUGAUUGCAGGCACGUGGCGUCAGCCGGGUGAAGGAGAAACGUGGGAAUGUUUGCGGAUUAAUAAAUAGCCACGAUUGUUGUCCGGACAGGCGCGUAAACAAUCCUAUGCGGGUGCGGGGUUAAAAAUGUAGAAAAAACUUCAAAUAAUACCCAGCAGUUUCAUAUUUUCUUAUUUUAGUAUUAUGUAAUUUAAAAUGUAUCGCUUUUAUGUCCUAUGAUUUUAUUUUUCUCUUUUUGUAAUCUCCUCUACUAAUUUUUUUUCGUUAAAUCAGGCUGACAAACUGUACUGAUAUAAUUACUCUCAAAGAUCUCCUGAAAAGCACUAAUAUGUGAGCGCGAAUAUGUACAUGCAGAUCGACCCGCGUUGAUAAAUCACAGAUCAGCAGAUAUAUAGGAAAUAUGCAUCUGUAGUACCUAAAACUUAUUCUUUCCUUUGCUGUAGUUUAUUAACUAAAAUAUCAGUUAUUACUUCAGUACUGGCUCUCUCUAAUAACUUCAGUACUGGCUCUCUCUCUCUCUCUCUCUCUCUCUCUCAUAAUUGUAGAAAACAGGCAAGAAGAUAAUUUGAAUUAAAAAGGAAAAUCCUUUAGUUAAUUGCUCACAAACAGAACCAAUCACACAUCCCAAUCUCACCGUAAUGCAAGUAAAUCAGAUGAUUCCAAUCAACUUAAUCUAAGAUGAAUCCAUUUCUGCAGCAACUACACAACAAACCAACAAGUCUACAAACUAAAUACAUAAAUAAAGCCAUCGUUUUGAGAGCCACAAGCUAAAGACAAAGGGGGGAACUCACUAGUUCUCAAAAUACAACAAUGAGUUUGAAUCAUUUUAACUGCCUAUUGUAUGUGUCAACUGCAAUAGAAGAUAACAAAGAAAAACAAAUGAUCCACUUUCUGAGGUUGACUACAUUAUUCAUUCUUUUCCUAUGAUACAAAAAGAAUCUCCAGUAAGCUGCAGGACUCAACAGAAAAGCCAGACACCACAAUGUACACCUGAUCCAAUUCUGUCAUAUCUAGAGUUGAUAAAUCUGUCAAUUUUUCUCUUCUAUAUGGAAUUAGUGUUUCUAUGACUUCAUCUUUCCCAAGCAUUAUGUUUUGGGUGUAAUGGAAGUUCGAAAUCACAGCAACAGCAAAACCCACAUAACAAAUGCAAUAGCCAGUUUGCGUGGAUUCUUCUGAAGAGAAGGGACAAAAAAAAAAAGAUUUGACAAUAAGAGGAGGACAGAAGGGAAUGGAAUGAGUAAAAAGCCUCAUCAGAAUUUUUAUGGAUAUGAAGAGACGAGACGAUAAAAAUGGACUAAUAAAAUGCAAGUAAAAGAGGAAUGCAUUUAACAACUUAGAUUAUAAAAAUUGCAAUUUUCGUAAGUCAAUCGUUGUUUGAUAUGGUACUUCCAACAAGAAGAAAAAAAACUAUUUAUUCUCAGUCCUAGUGUAUGUUCCUUCUAGGGUCCUUGAAAGAAAAGACUGAAUCCUCCAAAAUUUUCAGAACAGCAUAGAGAGUAUAAGCAAAAAGGCACCUUACUUUUUCUCUCUUUCCUAAACACAACAAUAUUUAAAAAGUGUAGAAAAUUGGGCAUUCUUGACCAACCAAAUCAUGUUUGCAUGGGCCAGAAAUCUCUUUUUAUAAGAGACCAAGAUAUCGAUUGUUAGUGCUACCAAUUUCAGGAAUUCGCUAUAGAUUUCGAAUCAUAAGUCCCACAGCCCUACCAAACCAAAUGGAACCAAACCAAAUGGAAAUUCAGGUUGAACAACAAGGAUGAAAAUUUAAGUAAACUUAUUCCUCUUCUUUUUACUCUUUCUAGCUGCAAAUGAGCUGAUUGUCUCACUAGGAAGGCACACCUGAUCUCCUCUACUGGCUUUCAUCUCUUGGGAAAUUGAUUGCCUAUGUCCUUUGCAAGCCUUGGGAAGUUUACCAUCAUAAGCUCCACAGAUAUGAGCCUCAAAAUUCAUAUAAUCCUGCAAUUUAAAGGUACACAAUCCAUCACGUAAAUUGAAGGUAUAUACAUUUUAGAAUGAGUAAUAAAAGUAAUUAAGCUGACUAGUUGGAAUGAGAUUUCAGAUGAUAGAUUGGCCCAACAAAGUGUUUGCUUCGGUUCAGUUCUUAAUAGCUAUAUCUUAGUUAAAGCUACAUAGAUUCAGAUCCAAGGUCCAUUUUCUAGGCUUAUAAUGAAAAGAAAUAGUUAGAACAUCAUUCAUGCCAUGAAUAUAAUCGGGGGAUCAGUUAGCACUUUGUCUUGGCAAUUUAGUCCCUACAGAUAAGAUGAAAUUUGAAAGAACGAUAAGUAACAAGCCUUGUUGAAUCAAGAAGCCAUAGUUGUGAUCAUUAUGCAUUUUCCUGCAGUUUGUUGCCGUAUGAACUUUUAGGAGCAUAAUGAAAUAACGAAAAAAGAAAGAAGCAACAUAAACUAACAGAUCAAUACAACUGCGCAGAAUUGCUUCAUGCAUUCUCCAGAAAUUGUACAUUAACAAACAGAAGCAAAUUGAAGAUUGAUUAGAAAAUAACAAUCAUCUACCAUGCCUAAAAUCAUGAAAAAGUGGACAAAUAACUUUUUUGCUAAUGAAAAUUAUGGUUUUGUUGUAACUUAUAAAAGAAAAGUAAAUAACUUAGGAUUGAGUUAACUCUAGUAGUUGAGGCAUGACUAUAUCAACUGGGGAGGCAAAUUGAUAACAGUAUGUUGAUCAGCAUAGACAUACCUCAAAAGGCUUAGAAAGGAUAUGAGGAAAACAGGACACACAGGAAUGAAAUAUAAAAGAAGGUUAAGCGUAAGCUUGUAGAAUAUGAAACUAACCUCAUAGAGAGGCUUCCCAUCAACAACCACCCAAGGAACAUACUGAUGAGGGGGGCGAAGAGCAUCUGUCUCUGCUGCAUACUGUAGUUCAAGCUGCAUUUGUAUCAGAUUAAGAGAAGUUCAUAAGCACCUGUAAGUAUAAUCUCAUUGUAUUCUCUCUCGGAAAUAUAUAUACACACAUAUAUGUGUAGAUGAAAGCUUGGUCAACUAAGAUUGGAUCAACCACAAUGAUUUCUAGAAUAAAAGCAAUAACCAUUUGAAAAUUAACAAUACUUAGGAACUAACCCCUACAGAUUUCUCCAAGAAAAAAAAUAAGGGGUGAAAUACAAAUAAGUUGGUUAUGGUAAAUCUAAUACAAAUAUUAACAUGCAAAAGUUCAGAAAGAAAAAUAAGUGAGAAGAGUGAUGUAUAGACAACCAUCCUAACAUAUUUCUCUUUAAUGAAACCUUCUAGAUGAGAUUCAUUCGAAGUUAACUUCAAAAGGGAGAUUCAUUCGCAAUUUAUUGUGUUGAACAAACCUGCCACCCAUAUCCACUAUUAUAGCAAUCUACAACCGCUUCCGAACUCAGGCCAGCUACCUGGAAGCAAGAUUGCCACUCGUUUUCUUUCUGUCCCAGAAUUAAAUUUUCAACACAGUGAAUGAAGCGGAAGUGCUCUUGCUGCAUCAGAAUUCAAGAAAAUUAACAUAAAAAUAAUCUUACAAGGUAAUAUGUUUUGACGACAAUCUCUGCAUGAGUCUGAAAAUGCACAACGCGUACAUUUCCCAAGAAAAACAGUUUCUAUGUAUAAUGCAGCACAGCAUUCAAUAAAGAUAAAUGCACUGACAGCCUAAACAGACCCCCAAAACUCCUAAAUUUUGAAAUUCACCCGUUUUGUGUGACAAAAAGUUCCACACCGGAAAGGCGACCACCGACAUAUUGUUUCGUCACAACAAGACAUUGGUAUAUAACUGUAAUUCUUUGUACAUUACCACAUCAGGCCACUCUUUGAUUGCGCAUGCUUCGAUAACAUUCAGAAGGCACUCGUUCGCACCAUGCUGCAGGAUGAAACAAGAAUGGUUAAAAGAAAAUCAUUUUCUAGGCGUCUGGAUCAUAAAAAAUAAUUUAAUACAAAGGUUAUGAAAAAUCAACCUACCUCUUCAUUCAAGACACACCAAUCUCACUGCAAAAACCCCAUAAAUAUAUAAAUGCUGCUGCAGGUCGCAGGCAGUAAAUUGACAUGUGCUUGUUUCCAGUAAUUAAUGAAUUUUUUAGGGUCAAUAGCAUACGUCUCCCUGCGAAGUAUGGAAAUGACACACUUGUCCCUCAAUGUUGUUUGUCAAGAAGUAUAUCCCUCUGAAUUUCAAAAGUUUACAACUUAUUCCUACCAACUGACUACUGUUAAUUAACUGGCACUCUCUCACUGUUAGGACCUUUACGCUCUUACGAAUAUACAUUCUUUUCAGAUUUUUAAGGUUCAAAUAGAAUGAAAAGAGUGAUGGAACAAAGAAGCUAGAGAUUUUUAAAAAAAAAUGAUGGUAAAAGUAUUUUAUAAGAUCUUUUUUGGGGCCAAAAUGGUAAUUUUCAGAAAAUUCAAUUUUAGACGAUCAAUGACACACAGAAGAAUAAAUGUGCAAACUACUAAAAUUUAUGAGGGACAAAUACACAAUUUCACUACUUUGAAGAGACAAGCGUGCAUUUUUUUUCCGAUCAAUUCCACCAUCUCCUAUAUUAACAGCGAAUAUUGCAAUCGAGAAUCUUACAGAGGCAUUUCGACAAAAACAUGGUGGGAACAUUCCGAAGGGAGGAAUUGGGAGUGAGGACCUGGCAAAUGAAGGAGCCGUCGGAGGAAACCCUCGCGUUGCCGUAAGGGACGAGAUCGAGGUCGACGAUGGAGACGAGCCCGUUGCUGAAGAUGCGAGAGAGGUGGUUCACAAUGAAAUUGGAGCAGUAAGGGCACAGAGUCUCGUAGUAGAGGGACAAGGAGACCCUCUUAGUGGCCGAUGCAUGGGAGGGAGAGAGGGAGAGGAGAGAGAGGAGUGAAAUGGCGAAGAGGAGAUGAAGAGACGCCAUGGGAAGGGUAGGGAGAGAGAGAGAGAGAGAGAGAGAGAGAGAGAGAGAGAGGUUGUGUUGAGUUGAGGAGAGAUCGCUUCCUCUGUAGGUGAUUCCUCCGAGGGGGCGGGUGGGGUGCAAAAAGGAAAGGGAAAAGCGGGAGAAGAUGCUACAGGGUGGUGGUUAUGAAAAAUGAGCUAUAUUUAAAAAAAAAAAAAGGUUAAUUGCAUAUAAGUCCCUACAAACAUAGUAAAUUAUAAAUACAUUUCUACAAAGUUUAAUUUUUAUAAAUUAUUUCUGCAAAAAUCCUAAUAUUUUCAGAUAUAUCUUUGCCAUUAAAAUCUGUUAGAAAAGUUUAGUUAACCAUAGGUUACAUACUUUACUCUAGUUGACAUUUUUAUUCCUCUUAUAUUAUACUGUUAUAAUUUUUGGAGGGAUAUAUUUGUGAUGAGAAAAUUAAAAUAUAAACGGUUUUCUAAUGAUUCUCUAACGAUAACUAAUCAGAGGAAUAUAUUUAAAAAUAUUAGAACUUUCAUAUAAAUCACUUAUGAAAGUUGAACUUUACAGCAAUACAUUUGUAAUUCACUAUGUAUGUGGAAACCAAUAUGCAAUUAAUUCUAAUAAAAUGGGGGGUAAGUUGCAAAUUUGGUCCCAGAUGUUUCAAUAUUAGCAGUUUAGGCCCUUUAGAAAGAUAAAUUGCAAUUGGGUUCUUCAACCUGUGGGCAUAGUUUCAGCUGUGUGUUCUACCCCAGGGAUGUCAACGGGUCGGAAUAGAUUUUCAAAAAUAUAAAGCCGAAGCCGACUAAUAACCAAAAUUCAAAUUCGAAUUCGAAUAUGAUAGAUUUUAAAAAAUUGUAUCUAAAUCUGAAUCCGAUUAAAAAUACAAAAUUUGAACCCAAGUCCGAACCCAAAAAUCUGAACCCCAAUUAUUAUAGUUUAUCGCAAUAAAUUUUUUGUUAAUUCCUUAGUAAAAUAGCGAGAAAGAGAGCCACGAAAUCGCAACCUCUUUUAGCCAAUUAUUUAGUGCCUAUUUGGCCCCCUUAACUGCUUUAUUUUCUAAACCAACUACUAAAUUUAAAGCCCGCGUAUUUUCAAAAAAAAAAAAAAAAAUUAAACAGCAUUUUUUUUUUUAACUUUCAUACUAAACAGCUCAUCAAUUUAUUUAGGAUAAACUUCAAAUGACAUAUUUAUAUAGUUUCGUACUUUCUUAUUUUAAUACCAUGUAGUUUAAAAUAUAUCAAUUUAGUAUCCUAUGAUUUCAUUUUUUUUCUUUUUAUCAGCCCUUUUGUUAACAUUUCGUUAAAUUACAUAUAAAAAAUUUCAGAUAUCCUACCUAAAUUUAUCGAAUAUUUAUUUUAGCACCUUUUAGUUUUAACUUUGUUAUUGAUUUAACGAAAAAAAUUAUUGGAGAAGAUAAUAAAAAGAGAAAAAUAAAAUUAUCAAGUACUAAAUAGAUACACUUUAAACCACAAGAUAUUAAAAUAAAAAAAAGAGUACGAAACUACAUAAAGUUUUCCAAUUUAUGUAGAAGCCAACAUAUAAGGACUUAAAACUGCCGCAAACAAGCUUUACUUUUACCAUCCCAUCUUACUGAGACAUAUCCAUUAUAAAUUACGAAGAGAUACUCACCACGGUGAGACCUAAAAACUAGUUAAAUGUUAAGGGGCCCCUCAUUUCAUUAUUGAAGUUAAGCGAGUUCGCCAAUUAUCUGUAAAACAUACUAUUUUUCUCACAUACAUAAUUUGAACAUGUUUUACGGAGAAAUUAUUCGCAGGGUUCUUCUCAUCUUCCAUUCAUUUAAGGUAACCUUUGCUCUUCAAACUCUCCACCGUAUCCUUGAUGAGCUUUUCAAGGGGAGUGAAGUGAAGGCCCAGCUCAAUCAACUUCUUCGAGGGACUCUCGGCCCUCACCACCCAAGGUUGUUUGUCCUCUUCAACCCUAUCAAACACGAACUAACACAAAUCAGAUAAAUUAAGCAAAGAAUUAUACGUAUUUGCGCAUAUAUAUGCCAACUAUGAAGAUAAAAAUUGGUGCCUAUUUCUAAGUCACAGCUUAAUCAGAGGCGUUUAACUAAAUUAAAAUGUAAGCGUUACCAACUGCACUGAGGACGCAACAGCAAAUACACACUAAUCUCGAGGAUAUAACUUGUAAUAGAGAGAGGUGCAUAUUUGCAAAUAUGUGUCUUAUAAGGGUAUAGGAGUAAGAACCUUUUAUGCAAGAGCAAAUAAUUUGAGUUAAACAUAGUCAGUCUCUUAUACCUUUUAACCGGAAAUUCGGGGUAGAGUUCUGCAAGCUUGGCCACAAAAUCAAUCCACCGUUCAAUGCGUUCUAAACACAGAUGCCGUCCCUGAGCUAAUCGGUUCUCGUAUAACAGUAUCAGCGCUUGCGCCACAUCCCUCACGUCGACGGACCCAAUGUAAAGAUUGUCCAUGUCAAAUUGGGCUCCUGAGUCAUGACGCGGUGCGAAUUUAAUAGUUACCGUGCUGCAGCAAUUUAUGGAGGUAUAAAACGAAGUAGUGCAAAGAAAGUGAAAGCUUUUGGGGAUGACUGUACUCAAACAGCACUUAGCUCCCGCAGUCAUUAAUUCGGAAGAAAAUAAAAUAAAAAUAUACAUGCCAUAUCUAACCUGGCAUGCAUGUUGUAAGUACCUCCUCUUAGAAAAUCAUACUUUGUUAAAUGUUUGAUAGUAUAGUCUAAUACCUACCUUGGAGAAGAUGAAGCAAGAUUUUGACACUGGCGCCGGCAAAAGGCGGGAGUAUCGGACCUAGCACCAUCCCGGGGUUGAUCACUACUAACUCCAAACCCUCCUUGGAAGCGAAUUCCCAUGCCGCCUUCUCUGCUAGAGUUUUCGACAAGCAGUACCAGAGCUGACAUAUCAUGCAGAGAAAAGUAUCAGGUUCACAAUGUGAAGAUUGUUGCUAAAUUAGCCUUGUAGGAUGUUUCAAAGAGAAAUUUUUUGCUUUGUUGCAAAAUACAAUUCCUAUGUUUUUUUCUUUUUUAGGCAAAGGUAGCAUGCUACUGUUUCAUUCGUUAAGAAAGUGAAUUAAGCACCAAGUUGAAGCAGCAAGGCUUCGGAGGAGACAAAGAAAAAUCACUAAGCACUAUAAAUCUCCCACAGAUCCCUACACAAGCGUAUAUCCACUAGAACAACUCCUGUGUUAACUGAAGAAUACUUUGUUCUAGCAAAACUAAAUCUAUUCAAGGUCUGAAUUGGUACACGACAUCGCCGUCGACCUGAUAAGUCAUUCGUUCAAUAUUUAUCGAUCUUAUUCUGUGUCGAAACAUGAAGCGAUAUUAUUAUCAUCGCAAUUUUUCGACACACCACUACCUCUCAAGUUGUUACCAUCUCCAGUUUUUAUGCAUACCUGAAGCUUCUUGAGAAGAUCAACAUCAGCCCAGGAAUCUUCGUUCACGGCCACAUCGACGGGCCAGUCGGGGUUGGGGAUCAUCGCAGCUUGCGAAGACACCAGCACUACUCGGCCAACUCCGCAUUCUUUUGCGGCACGGAGAACGUUAAGCGUGCCCUUCACUGCAGGAUCCAGCAGCUCCUUCUGCACACAAUCCAAUUUUAAAAACACUCAAUUUGUUUGUUUAACUGCACUGCUAGUCUCCGAACUUCAAAUCCUAAGUCAAACAUUCGACACUUCAAAUUUUUAAAAGUUUCAACAGCUGAUGGGCGAGUUGUGCACUGAUAUAUAGAUGCGACAGCAAUAACUUUUUACGUGCGUAACAAAGCACGAAAAAUAAAGUACUUCUGAAAGUUUAGGAGGGUCGAAUAUCCAACUAAAAAAUUCGAGGAAAGUAAAACUUAGCCUAAAAGUUCGCAAACUUUAAGGUAUCAUUUGAUUUGGAUAUAAGUAAGAAUUAUCUAUUUCAGAGAUAGGUAUAACUUCAGAUCUAAGAAAGAACUAGAUCAAUUUUAUGUUUGGAUAAAAAUUGAGUUAUUUUCAAAAAUUAAAAAAAUACAUUUUGAAUAAAUUAGAUGAAAAAAGAAGAAUAGCCGGUACUUAUAAAUAAAUAAUAAUAUUAUUACCCCACUGAUUAUAUUUGAAUUUGAAUUUUUUAAUUUUAUAUUUAUAUUUUUAAUUUUAACUUUUAAAUUUUAAAAUUUGAAAUUAAAAUUUAAAAUCUCAAAUUUUAAAUUUUAAAUUUUAAACUUUAAAUUUAAGAUCAAAUUUAAAUUUAAAAAAUAUAAAAUAUCAAAUUUUAAAUUUAAAAAUUUUAAAUAUCAAAUUUAAAAUUUAGAAUAUAAUAUUAUAAACUUUAAUUUUGAGAUUAUGAAUUAUAAAUUAUAAAUUUUAAUUUUUUAAAUUUUAAAUUUUAAAAAUAAAAAUAGAGGGAAACAGAGUGUUUUUUCCAUAGAUAAUUAUUUAAUAUUAAUUAGAUUAAUUAAUAAUUUAAUAUUAUAAUUAAAAUUAAUUUUUAGAGUUUAAUUAAUCUUUGUUCUAGGUUGUUUCAGAGAUAAGGAUGGAACAGCAAUUUAAAGUUUAUAUCAAAUUAUACCAGCUUAUCCUACAUAUUCAAAAAUAGUAAUUUUCGAAUACGAAAAAUAACGUUUGAAUAUAAAGAAGAUAUAUACGAGAUUAUUCAUCUUUUAUCUCCGAACCAAAUAGUGUGUUGAUACAUUCUAUCGUACACCCAAAAGGGCAUUGCAAACCUCAGGAUCCUGCAGGCCGUCAAGUAUGAGAGGCGAGGCCAAGUGGAAGACGCCGGCGGUGCCAUUCACCGCGGCGAGGAUGGAUGUUGGGUCAAGGAGGUCCAUCUCAAAGAGCCAGAGACGUGACGCCGCGCCAUCGAGGGCUUCCAGGUGCUUCGUCUCCCCCUCGUCCUCUAAAAAAAAAAAUUAUAAAAAUAUAUAUACAUUUUGUUUAAGAAACAAAUAGCGUAAUAUCUGUUUCAUUCAUUAAAAUUUUUGAAAACAAAUUAGAACGUUAAAUUUUUGAAAAAUAAAUUAGAAUUUUUUAUACGAAGAGAUUCGAGCUGACAAAUAACAUUCAAUCCGUACUCCGAGAAAGAUUGUGUGUGCUGGAUACUAGAAAGUAACUUCUGAGUAUAUUAUUUUUAUAUUUUAGAGUGAUUAUAUUGGUAGAAACAUAUUGUAAAAUGUUACAAAACUUGUGGUCUCGCGUUUUGAGCAAUUGCUAAAGUAUAUAAAAUAAAUAUUUAUUUUUUAAAAAUUUAAACUAUCAGAUAAUAAAUACAGUUAAUAUUUAUAUUUAAGUAUCUAAGUAAAUUUUUUAAAAAAAUAAUAUAACGUCAUGAAUCUGGACAGAACUCGAAACUCUCUGUUCUGAUAUUAUAUUAAAUUAUAUAAAAUAUUAAAAAUAAUAAAUUUUUAGAGUAAUAUUACUGGUAAUAAUCUGACAAAUAUUAAAGAGUAAACAUAUAACAACAAAUUUAGAGGGGAAAAAAAAAUGAGAGAGAGUACUGAGAUUCUUGACGGUGGCGUGGACGGAGUAGCCGCGCUGCAGCAGGAAGCGGAGCAGCCACGAUCCGAUGAAGCCGCUCCCUCCGGUCACGCAAACGCGCAAACUGCUGCUGCCCUGCAUCGACAUCUCUUUCUUUUUUUUCCUCGCUCUCUCUACGUAAACUAUUAUUAUUUGCAAAAUUUGCUGCUUUUGUUUUUCAUCUCAGUGUGUGCAGUAUAUGUGCCUAUUUAUUUAUAAGUUUUAUGAAUGGGGAAUAUUUGAGAGGCUCCAAACACUCUCUCCAUCCCAGCAGGAUGGAUGUGGACGAGAGAUGUCAACGGUUGUAUUCGGGGUGGAUUUCUAAAAAUUUGAACCCGAGCCCGGCUCCAAACCCGAGAUCUGAAUCCGACGAAUUUUAAAAAUUCAUAUCCAAAUUCGAAUCCGACCAAAAAUUUGAAACUCGAAUCCGAAUCCGAAAAUUUAAACCCGAAACAAUUAUUUUUUUUUCAAUAUUUCAAAAUAUAAUAUAUUAAAUCUAAAUUUUUAAAAUAUAAAUUCAAAUAUAACAUCAAAUAUAUAUAUAUAUAUAUAUACUAGUUGAAUGUACGUGCAAAUGCACGUAACAAUUAUUAUAAUUUAUUUCAAAUUAAUAUAAAUUUGUACAUUAUAUAUAUCCAAAAUUUUACAAUAAAAAUUAUAUUUAUAAAUUAAUAUAUUAUAUUUUAUUAGAAAAUAUUUACAAUAUCCUAUAAUGUUCUUUUUUUUAUAUACAUCAAAUAUUUUUAUAUACUUUUUUAUUUCAGAUGAAUCAACUUUAAAUAUGUAUUUUAAACUAAAAGCAUUAAAAUUUAAUUCACAUUUACUUUAAAAUUUAAAAUUUAAUUUUGAUCCACUGUAAUAAAAAAAUUAAUUGUUAAUUCAAAUUUGAUACAAAUUAAAUUUAAUUCAUAAUUUAAACUCAAAUUUUAAUUUUAAUGUAAAAUAGAUGAAUAAAUAUUUGAGAUAUUUUUAAUUUUGAUCAUAACCGUUUGUUUUUAUUUGAGAUAUUUUUUAACAAAUUGAUUAUAAUCGUCCCUAGAAUUAAAUUUAUAAAUGGAUAGGAAUGAUGCUUUUUAGGGCUUGUUUGGUUCAUCCAUUUUGGGUAUGGAAUCGGAAUCGGUUUGAUCAAAUUCGGAUAAUUUUGUUUGGUUCGCAUAAAUCGGUUUGGGAUUCCUAUUCCGGACUGGAAUGGGAAUGGCCCAUUAGCCUUCAACUUGUUUCCGGUCUUCUAGCCCGGAUUGAAAUUUCAUUUCGGAAGCCCACUAAGUCCUCGAAGCCCAUGUGACCAUCUCACCCUCCUUCUCUUCACCCAUUUCUCAUCAAAAAAAAAAAAAAAACCUAUCCUCUCUCAAAACUCUAUCCCUAAUCCACAUGAAUAAAAGUUUUUAAAAAUAAAUUUGAUAUUUUUUUUGAAAAACUUAUUAGAGAAUAGUAUUAUAUUUUUCAUAAAUUUUAAAUAAUAUAAAUUUAUAUUUGAGAGUAAAAUUAGUAUUAUAGUAUCCUAUAAUUUUUUUAGUUUAUACGAAUCAAAUAAUGAAAUGUGAAUAACUCAUUCCAAUUCCGAAUCCACAAAUAAACCAAACAUCUUGGGGAAGUGGGUCAUUCCAAUUACCAUUCCAAUUCAUUCUCAUUCCAUUAUCCAUUCCAAUUCCACCCUUGAAUCAAACAAGCCUUAUAGAUGAUUAUAACGGUUUUUAUUUGAGAUAUUUUUUAAGGAAUAGAUAUUAAUAGAUGUAGAGAUUUAAUAGAUUGAUCAUAACUGUUCAUUUUAUUUGAGAUAUUUUUAACAAAUUAAUCAUAACCAUUGUAGAGAAUAUUAUUUUAUUCUUUUUUAGAUUCCGUCUGUCAUUGUCGGAAUUCCUAUACGCUUUUAUAUAUAGUAUAUAUAUAUAUAUAUAUAUAUAUAUAUAUAUAUAAAAUACAAAAUAAAUUCGGGUUCGGAUCGAAUUCGGGUUGGGUUCGGAUACAAUCAAAUUCCAUAUCUAAAUUCAUAUCGGUCGAGUUUUUAUAUUUUAUAUCCAUAUCUAAAUUCAUAUCCAUAUACGUCGAAUAUAUUCAUUUUAUUCGGAUUCGAAUUAGGAUAAAAUUUUGAAUAUUCAUAUCUAUUGACAUUUUAAUGUAAACCCUGCUCGUCUCUCUCCGGAAGCAGUGGGUCCUGGGAGCUGCAAUUUAAUGCGAAGAUUUGGAAUUCGGAAUUCAUUAAAUAUCAUUUAAUAGGUAGAUUCUUUUCGAUUAUUAAUACGAACGACAUAGUUGGGGUUCCGUCACUGUCACGUUCCGUUGUUACCUCCAUCUUUAUCUGUAGAGUUGGGACAUGAGCGAAUGCUCUCAAUAUUAUUGUUUUUGAAUUGCUAAGACUUAGUUUGGUAUUGAGAUCUAUAUAAUGUCAUUAGAUAUAUUAGAGUUAAAAAAAAAUAUAUAGAGAUAUACUUCUGCGUUCUCCGAUGGAACUGCAAAAAAUAUAUCGUAACCGACUAACCGCAAUAUUUGAAACGCAAGAAAAUAAACAUGUAAUUUUUUCAUCGUCUUAUAACACAAUCUUCCUGAAAUCCCAAACGAAGCCUAAGUUGGACCUGCUUUCUAAGAUGAUGUUUUUGUUUUUUCGGAUCCCUUUAUACGCUGUACAAUUAAUAUAUAUGUUGUUGACUUGAUAAUAAAUUUAAUAUUAGAAAUUUGAAGUGAUUGUCGAAAUUUUUAAAUUUAACAUAAGAAAUUUAAAAUUUAACUUUAUAAAUAGCAUUUUUCAUAAUUUUACAUACACUAUCCAACUAGUAGCAUUAUAAGAGAUAAAAAUAAUAAAUAAACUCGCAAACAAUAAAAUGGAUUAAAUCCCUACUUUUAAAAAAAUUCUGUCAGAUAUUUUGAAAAAAAAUAAUUAUUUGAAAUUAUAUUUGAAAUGACUGAUUAAAAGAACUAAAAUUUCAAAACUGUGUGGAAAAGUCGUAGUGUCAUAACUCCACACAUAGCACAAGAUAAUUGAGGACCUCCCAGUAUCCACAAACUAUACAAAUCAGAUUACUUCUUGCAUAUAGAUUCUCAUUAAAAUUAUUAAAUAUAAAUAUUCAAAAUAUUAUUUUUUGAUAAUUUAAAUUUUAAAAAAAAUAACCGGCGUUAAUAUGGUACCAGAAUAGGAGUUCUUGAGCACGUCUUAGGCGGAGAUAAACAAUAAAAAUGAAUAAAGAUUCCCUCCAUUAAUCCAAAAUGUCCCUAAUUAAGUGUUUGCUUUAUGUACGCUAUCUUAACUUUCGAAUUUUCUAAGUUUUAAAAUUUUAUUAAAUUUAAUGAUGAUAUAUUAGUUAGGGAAAACUUUAAAAAUCCCCCUGUGGUUUCACAUUUUUUCAUUUUAGUACCCUGUGGUUUAAAGUUUAUCAAGUUAGUACCAUGUGGUUUCUCACUUUAUCACUUUAAUACCCUGUGGUUUAAAGUGUAUCAAGUGAGUACCCUGUGGUUUUGCACUUUACUAUUUUAGUACCCUGUGGUUUUAAUUUUGUAUCAAGUUAGUACCUAUAAUUUUUUAAAUCACAGGGUACUUAAGUGAUAAAGUGUGAAACCACAGGGUACUAAAGUGAUAAAGUGCAAAAUCACGGGGUACUAACUUGAUAUACUUUAAACCACAUGGUGCUAAAAUGAUAAAGUGAGAAACCAUAGGGUACUAACUUGAUAUAUUUUAAACUAUACGGUACUAAAGUGAAAAAAUUAAAAUCACAAGGGGGUUUUCGAAGUUUUCCCUAUUAGUUAUUAGUGACUAACUUUUUUAGUUUUUUUAACUAGUUAAUUGAAAUAAUUAUGAAGUACGCAUUCGAUUUGUGAAUCGAUUUGGGAUUGAGACGACUACACUUAAGAUUGGAUUGAGUGGACGUAAUUAACCGACAAGGUCAUGAUGAGAUAGGCGAUUAUUGUUGAGUUAGCAAUUUGGAGCCAUUAUUAAGAAAAAUUGUAAUUGAAACAAGAGUGAAAAAUUGUAAUUGAAAGGAAGAGUGAAUUUUGUGAAAAAUUUUUAAGAAUUUUUUUUUCUUUUGUGUGUGUAAUAAAAUUGAAGAUUUAAUUACAAAUGGUAAGUUCACGUGAUGACGAUAGAUAUAAAAAGUAAGACAUAAAUGCUAAAGAUUUGGUAUUUUUGAUGAGAUUGGAAUGGGCAACAAUUUCCGGUGUCAAUGAAUCUAUUCCAUCUGCUCUUCAUUAUGUUUGUGAAUGGCAGAUACAACUGAUGAUCCGAUUACGAAACACUCAAAUACAUGACGAAUUAUUUUCUCAAAAUAGCUUUUUUUUCAAAAACUUUUUUUUCUGAUCGCAUGAAAGACUAGUAUUUUUAUUUUUUUAAAACUUUUUAUUCAAAAAACAAAAAUUAUAAAAAAUAAUAUUUUUAUGAAAUAUUUUUUAAAAAAAUUUAUUUUUUCUGUAAGAAUUUUGAGAGAAAGCACGCACCUCAGCCUCUUCCAGAAGAUGGCUGACAUGACAAUCAACUCUGAAAACUACUUGCUAAUUACGACACAUUUACAUGGCAUGAAAAAUUAUUUAUAAACUAUUUAUAAGGAUGCUCUUUGGAUGGCUAUAUACUAGGGCGAUUUGGGUUAUUCUGGCAGGAUUACUACAUUUGAUUCAUUCGGCAUGUAAUCUAUUCGGUAUUAUAGCAUUAUAAAAAAUAUAAAACUACACCGAAAAAUUAAGAAAAGCGUCUCUAAGCAUCAUUACUAUGUACUAAAUACCAACGUUUCAAAAAAUAUUGUCACAUGAAUUGUUUACUAUAUCAAACCAAUAUAUCGAUUGUAUUAUUAUUUUUAAUUUUCUGACACUUUGAAUUGUUAGGAUUUAAAAAAAUUCCGUCUGAAUAUAUUUCAUCAAUGAUACAUAUCCGACGACUCUUUAUCGAUAGAUUAUUUUAGAAUACUUUGUAAACAACGUUAAAUAUAAAAAAAAAUGCUCGUUAAAUAUUAUUUUUUUUAUAGUAAUACAAACACUGAUGAGUGAUUAUUAGAACUCUUGAGGUGCAUGCGUGUAAAAUUAAUCUUCUAAUUAAAUCCUUUUGUGGCAUCGGAGCAAUAACAUAUCCCCAGUGCAUCAACGGCCUGGGGAGGGAAGAUGCAUGUAACAUUCUUAAAGUGCCCAUAUGCUGCACAAAGCUUGAUGCAAUCUUUGUUUUCGCGACACUCCCCAACGUAUCCACCGACACCGUCAUAGCCCUUGUGAUCAUCUUCGGGGAGAAACCCUACACAGUAAAUAAGCAUCCAAUCAAUUACAUUACAUGUAUAUCAAUUAAAAAGAACUUGGGCCUUGAGAUUUUUUACAUUGCAAAUUAUCUAGCUCUGUAUCUAUCACUUCAAAUUUGAAAUUAUACAAAUUUUAGUGAAAAACUUAAUUUUCUUUAUUUUCUGGUGCUCAAAUUCAGAACCAACUUCACCCAUCAUACGGACACUUCCAAAGAAGUAACGUUUGAAAGGGUAUAUAUAUAUAUAUAAAAUCUCCAUAAAUAAAAAUGUUAAUUGAACUUUCAAAUAUAAAAGUUAAGGGAAUUUGCAUGAAUAAAUGGAAGAGGGAAAAAAAAGAAGAAGAAGUUUUUUUUGUUGAUUAUGUCGCAUACUGGUGGAUUGAAUAGUCGUGGCAAGAAACAGGAGGAGGAAGCUUAGCACUGUUAUGAAGCACUUGUUGGAAGCCUUUUUGAUCAGCUGAAACCUAAAAAGCAAAAGAUAAUAAUAAAAAAGAAGUUUGUAUAAAAGUUGGUUUAAUUUGGGAUUUAAUAAGAAGAACCAAUAUUUAAUAAGAAGAACCAAUAUUAUACUACCUUUUUUCUUGUAGAUUUCGCGCUCUUGCUCAUUGUUAAUGCCCUAUAUAUAUAGAGAGAGAGAGUAGGGCUAGAAUACUUGUAAAAGCAUCAUGAGGGUGAUACUUGUGUGUUUUUAGCCCUUGGAUAGAAAGAUGUGAGGUUGAGAUGAUGGUGGUAGGUGGUAUAUAUAUAUAUAUAUAUAUAUAUAUAUAUAUUUUAACUCGAGUAUACGAAAAUUUUCAUGUUCAGUAACCAUGAAUAUUCAAAAGCCGGGAACCUAAUUUCUUACACACCAAUUUUACUACACCCGAGGAAUCCCAACUCACUCAUCAAACAAUUUAUCAUACUAGAUUGCCUACUUUUACUAGUUUCUAUAUCUAGAUUGCCAUUUUUUAAAUGUUUGUGGUUUACGACACACGAAAAUGUUCGUGGUAUCGGCCUGAUAUAUAUAUAUAUAUAUAUAUAUAUCUCAACUCGAUACUAUGAAAAUGUUCAUAGUGGUAGUACUACGAUAAUCUAAAAUUCGAUAACCUAGAUGAAAAACUAAUAAUUACCGGGAACCUAAUUUGUGAUAAGGUGGAUGGNUCUUUCGGGACAACAUUAUUUGCAUAUUUAAUAAAAAGGUGUGAAUCUGACCCUCUUUUCAUUGAUACACUAGUCUCGUUAAUCUUUUUUAAAGAGGCAAUUUUUUAUAUAUUUCUAAAAAGUUUCAAUUUUUUUAAUUUACUUAAAAGACUAAUAAUAUAAAUAAAAAUUUAACGUUCUAAAUUCUUUCAAAUAUACCUCUUAAGUUAGGAUAAAAAAAUAUUUUGACCUUAUUUUAAUUGUAGUAAAAAUUUAAUUUAAAUUUAACCCAAGAUAACUUAACGAAUACUAACAACAACGGAGUUAUUUUUGAAUAAUAGAAAAAUACACGAAAACUAUAUUUGAAGCAAAAAAAAAAAGAAAUAUAUAAAAUAUUUCAAAAAUUUUGAAGGCUAUAUAGAUAAUUAUCUAUUCUUUUUAAUAUAGUAAAAAAAUUUUAAAAAAAAGUUUAAAUUUUUGAAAAAGUAGAUACAAAAUUUGUACAUUUUUUUUGGAUAUACAAAUAGUAAUUUUCUUUCUUCUAGGGGGGGUUGUUUUUAAUAAUGCUGCUAUGUGCAUGUACAAUCAUGUUGGUGGCCAGAGAAAUUAAAGGAAAGUUCCUUCGUGUGUACUUUUUCUUUUAUUUAUACAAAUCAUUUGAAUUAUUACUGUGUGAAGUGGAUGAACGUGCACCUUAUAAAAUGAGAAGGGAUAGGUCAAGAGGUAUAAGUACCCAUCAAAAGGAUUUGCAAGAUUGCAGGGAAAAAUUGACUCUGCUUUUUCCUAGUUGGUAUUAUUAUCCUUUCUCCAAAAAAACAAAAGGAAAAAAGAAAAAAAUUCCUAUGUAGGAGAAUAUAUGUGGGUCGUGCUGGGCCCAUGCUAUUAAAUAGAAAUUAGCCUGCGAUCACUUCACACUGGAGACAAGAUAGUUUUGGGUGCCAAUAAAUGAACAUGAAAAACAGUAAAUUUUCCACUGAAAGAUCUACUUUUAUUAUAUUUGCAAAAACUAAAGAAAAUGAAAAGCAUUCAUCGAAACUUCCAUUACAAUAGUAAUUCGCCAUUUUAAUAGGUAAUGGAUUGAACUAAAGAAGAAGCAGAAGAUAAAAGCUAAAGAAUCUAGCAUCAUUCAUCUCAUUGGCCCUCAUUACUGCUGCAUCUAUAUUAUGUUCUAACAGGACAUGAACCAGCUAUAAUAUUCAAAGGUCAAUAUGCAGGAAGAGCAUCCAACUAUAAAAGCGAGGCGGAUGUAACAAUUAAGUCCAUUCCCUUCCUAAUGUCUUAUGCAAUAGCAUGUCCCUCGUGCAGAAGCAUCUGAUCGAAAUGCCAAACUCCUGCACAAAAUCAGAGUAUAUUUUACGAAAGGAAAAAAGAAUAAACAUCGAAAUUUUAAGAUCAUGAUCUAUUAAGGGAGGAGAAAGAUGUCUCCUAAAGCCUUACCAUGUCCCUUGCCCACCAUUCUCAGCUGAGCAACAUAUUCAGACAUCUUUUUAAUGGCUUCCACCUGAACCGAAGAAAAAAAAGAGGGAAUUCGUAGAGGCAAUUUUAGCCAAGGAUAAAAUAUCCUAUAAAAUAAAAGAUACUGAAAAGGCAACAUGAAAAAGCAAGUUACAUCCUGUUGUAAUAAUACCAACUUAGUGUACGAUAUAGAUUCAAAAGGGCCAUAGAGAGAGUAAGUGGUUGAUUACUUAGAUACAAGCCGUAUGAUGAUAUCCCAACAUAAUAUUGGUAUAAUUCGAGAAAAAACAUGUUAGAAAAUUAUAUAUAACAAUAAUAAUAAUAAUUAAAUCCCUUAACAUGUUAGAAAAUUAGAAACGAAACACAAAAGUAAUACCCUGAUCCUGAAAUGGAAAAUAAAAGAAGAGUUAUUAAGAACAAAAAGCAGAUAACCAAAAGCUUUACCUGCUCCUCCAGAAAUUCACUUUCAAUGUAGUCUGCCAGCUGAGGAUCGCUGCACUUUUCUGCGACCUGUUGAUCGAGAUCAUAGAUGGCAUUGAAAAAUGAUCUUCGAUAAUGUUUUCCAAUACUCAUCAAAACUCUAAGGUUUCAUAUGCAGGGAUCACUUACACCGUGCAAUUUCAGAAGCUUCUCAUUUGUCAGUUUCUCAAGAGCUAAAGCCAACUCCAUUGCUGAACAAAUGAAAGAAAGUGUGUCAUAGCAAAUCUAAUUUGCAUCAGAUGCAGAAUAUAUUGCUAGUGAGCAUGCAUGAGCACAACCUUCUGGCUCGUUCAAUUUUAUUAUAUGAAAUAAUAAAUUAGUAAGGAAAGUAUGGCACUUGUUGGUGGGUAAUAUACCUUUCUAAUCUUAGGUUACUUUCAAACAACCCAAUACAAGACAUUAAUAUAAGAAAGACACAAAGAAACUUCUGAUAUGGAUAUUUUACUCUCCUUUUUUUUUUUUCUAAAUUUGCAAGGCACUAUUUAGUCAAAGUGCCAAAUAAAGUUUAAUCAAUAGACACAUAGUCACACUCAACUAGCAUAAUCAUAGUAUGAUGAUGCAACAAUUCAUUAUCUAAUACCAGUUUAUAAAGUAGAUUCUUCCUCGUUCUUGGCACCUCUAUAAGUUAUAUAUUUCACAAAUAGUAGAAACGAUGUGGAUGUAAAUUAUUAAAUAAAUGCAUAGACACGCUAUGCUAUUCAUGUAAACUUAUCAUGACAACAACAGAUGAGUAAAAUACAAUAUGACAAUUGAUCUACAAAUGGCUUUUUCCAUGCUAAAAAAGUAACGCCGACAAGAAGCGUACCAUACAAAGCAUCGCCUUUCUCAGCAUGAUCAAACUCACUUAAGGGCAUCAGUAUUGUCUGAAGCUUAACUCUGCCUCCACGUUUGUUCUAAAGACAUAAUAAUAAUAAUAAUAAUAAUAAUAAUAAUAAUUAAGUCCCUUACAUGUUAGAAAAUUAGAAAUGAAACACAAAAGUAAUACCCUGAUCCUGAAAUGGAAAACAAAAAAAAGAGAACGAUUAGAUAAAAUUAAGAAUCUUAGUAGAGACCUGGUACUUCAUAAGCUUCUCAGCAUGCUCCCUUUCCUCUUCGCUUGAUUCCUUGAAGAACCUGAGACCGAAGAAACCGACGCGUAGCUUAACAAUAUGAUCCCGCAGGCUUGAACAAAAUGAAAGAAAUGUUAAAUUUCAUCACAAAAUUACUUGGCAAGGCCCUUCAACGCGACGUUGUCCCGAUCAAAGUAUGCAAACAAGGCAUGAUACACGUAAGAAACGUUGUACUCAACACUGUAAACAAAAUCAAGAGAAAAAAAAAUAAUAAAUAGCACUAUGAAAUCACAUCGCAAACAGAUCAAAAGAAAAUAUAUGCAGUAAAAGAAUAAAAGUACUUGAACCAAACCAGAUGAUCCAAAGUGUCGGUUCUAAAAUAGAUCUUAGCCGUUAAUCACAAGAACAAACGGAAACAAAUCCACAAACAAUAAAAUAAUAUGUAGUAAAAUUGAAAGGAAACCGACUUGAUCUGUUCAUUGAUGGCGCCCUCGCAAUCAUCGGCGUACUUGUGGCGCGCGAGGGACUGGUCGAGGGCCUGGGGCACGAGCGCGAGCUCGCUCUUCACCUCCUCGAAGGGCUCGAAGACGACGCCGGUGAUGGCGCGGCUCGCCGACCCCCCCUUUGCGGCGGCCGCGAACAGCCUCCGGCGGGGGAGCCCCACGGCGGCCACGGCGGAGGGAAGGGAGAGCUCCGGCGAGCGCGAGAGGAGGGGGAAGGAGGGGGAGGAGGGGGCACGUAGAAGCAUGGCUAGGGUUUGGGAGGGGAAAUGGGAGGGGAGUGAGACCGAGGUGUGUGUUGGAAAUGGAGGGUGCGGGGGAGGAGGGCCAUGAUAUAGAGGGAGGGGCGAGGGUUUGGGGGGGUGUGGAUGCGCGACACGUGUACGGUGGGAUUAGAGAGGGUGGGAUGUGCGUGUGGAGGGCUCGUGGUCACCGCACGGCUUGAUCUUUCUACGGAUUGGUGGGGCGAGGAGGAAUCGUCGGGAUAUCCCCACCAUUUACAGGUUGGCAAUUUUUGNUUUUUUUUUUUUUUUUGGCUUUUUGGCUCCAUAAAAAUUUGUUAAAUUAUGCAAUAGUUAUUGGAAACUUAUUAUUCGUAUGAUAUAUUCGAAAAAGUCAUUAUUUUCAUAAUUUGAAAAAUAAUCAUCCCAAUAUUAAAAACUUUAAAAACUACUGUUUUUUAUUUUGAAAAAUGAUUAAAGAGUUUUUGUAAAUUUCUAGCGGUUACGGUUUUUAGAAAUUCAGUUUAUGAAUUUAGGGAAUGAUGUGGCUAUCGUUUGGAAUAAUUGGAUGACAAGACAUAGAACUCGGCCUACUCGUUCUAAACUGGCCGGAUUGAUAGUCUGUUGCUGCGUUAUUCAGAAAUAAUGUGAUUUUUAAAAAAGUUAAUACGAGUCCAUUCAACAGUCAAUAAAAUCGAGUACUUGAAGAACUUGUGGAAAUAAUUUAUCUCAAUAAAGUGGCUAGCCACUUCAUAUUCUCUUAAUUCUUUUAUUUAUUUUUUUCAUCUCGACCGAGCUCUACUAUCUCCUUCAUGUAAUCUAAUUCAUACUUCUAAUGAAUAAAGUAGUUAGCAUAUUAUCUUAAAAAAAUAUAUAUAUAGGGAGUUUUACUUGAAAAGAUAAGUUAAAGGGACAAAUGCAUUAGAGCUCGUUCUUUUGCAUAUAAGAAAUUAGCAUAUAAUUUUCUGAACAAUUCAAUCAUUCUAGUUAAUUCUUAAAAUAAGAUUAAUUAACUCUAAAAGUAAUGUGUUUCCGUAACGCCAUUUGCUUUGAACAUUCUUGGUAUUCACUGAACCAAAAUAGUUGACUCAUAAUUAUCGAAUUACAAUCCGUCGCGCAAUUAUUUCUCCAUAUUUUUACCUUAUUCAUUUUGUACGUAUUCAGUAAUUAAAUAGACAUUAACAGAAAAUUUUCUCCAUGGUUAGAAGCAAUCUCUCAAAUUUUAGUAUAAGCUGAGUUCUAAAAGGUGCCCUAUGUCUACAUGGUUUCACUCUACUAAGAACUCACAAAAAAUAAUAUGUAAACGUGUAAAUAUAACGGACAGAAUAAAAUAUCUCAGUACAUACUAAGAUACAAUAAAUUUUAAACAGAUUAGCUAAACAGAAACACUAUAAAGAUUUUGUAAACAACACAAAAAACAAAAAUAAGACAUGUUAAUCCUACUGCUCAACCCAAAUGAUUUUCCACAAGUUUGGUACGAAAUAAUCGGCUUACUUCGAACAACUCUGUUGCCAUUCCUAAUUAUCGAACUGCUCGAUUCAAGAUCAGCCUCUUAACGUCUUAAAAAUAUAUUAUUAUACAUAUAAAAAUAUGAAAUUUAAUUUUUAAAUAAUUUAAAUGGUAUAGAUCAUGUUAAAUAAUAUCGAUGGUGACGGUGACAGGGAAAAAAAAGAGAUAAGGAAAAAGCGACAGGGGUGGCACAUGCUCAGCACUUGCGGAGUUUGGGUCCCGUCGCAAUCCGGUGCGCGUGGAUGGCUCACGCUCUGUGUGGACGGAGAUUCCACGUGCUCGGUCCGCAGAAGAUCCAACCUUUAACUGGGUCAUUGUUAGCCUCACUGACACGUCUCUUUGACUCCCUUUUCCCUUCCCCACCACAACUUUAAUUGUCUAAUAAUAAUAAUAAUAAUAAUAAUAAUAUAAUAAUAAUAAUACCCCUUCACUAAUUUACCGCGACGUGACCUUUUGUUUCCUCGUGCUUUAGAAAAGCUUUCUAGAUUGUUACUGAAAAGACCCAUCUUUUCAAAAAGUAAACAAACUUGUGCAUAUUAAGAGGUUUUUAAAUUGAUUUAAAAAGAAAAGUUUAGGACUGAUUUUAAUACUAUAGUAUUCAAAAGAUCUGCAUUGCAGUAAAUAAUUUUGAGAUACAGAGACCAUAUAUUAGAGAGGAAACACAAGAAAGAGAGAGAGAGAGAGAGAGAGAGAGAGAGAGAGAGGAGAUUAAGAGCUACCGUUUAUGAUCGUGUGCAUUGAAAGUGUUUUUCUUUGUUGUAAGUUUGUGAUUUAUCAAACACUUUCAUUCAAGUGAUUAGCUCCGGUGAUAAUUCUACUCAAGUAGGAAUAUUUGAAGAUAUAUUAUAAGUACCAAGUGCUUGAUAUACAGUAAUUUUUUAUUGUAAGAUAAAUUAGGUUACUAUACUAUUAAUAGUAUUAAGUAUUUGGUAUUAUUAGAUUUCGAUUUUUGAAUGAGAGGAUGUGCGGUUAUAAUAAUAAUGAUUCUUUAGUUUUGAGAAAAUGAUUGAUUGAAUAGUAUAAUCUAACGGGUAAAAAUAAUAUAAAAAAAGGAUAGAUUUAACAACAGAAAACUCGAUAGCACUAGACGCUUAAUAUUAUCGAUAGUAUAGUAGUACAAGAGAUGCACAUAUAUAUUUCGAACCAAAAAUCUUUUCUCUUGAUGUAAAAUUUAGUUUAGUCUCCCGUCAUACAUUAAAAAAAAAAAAAAGAGGGUUGAGAAACACGAACUAUGCCACCUAAUGCAGUUCCUCUUUACAACUUGAUAACAACAACUAAGCAAUAAAUGGUCGAUGGUAAUCUUCUAUAUAGAGUAGAUGAGCACGCACACUAACUUAAUUUCAGGAGGGAAAGUGACAGGUGGGG
rnacentral:lncRNA from 1 species